AAUAAUUAUUUGAACUCUUCUAAUAUAACUAUAAAUUAAAAGUAACACCAGCUAUCAGAAAGAUCCCUUAUGCCUUCAUCAUCUGCCAAGGAUAUAGGACUGCAAGCUUGGAUGGGUGCAGAGAUUUCUCAUUAUGCCUCCUCCAUCUCCAUCUCUUACAAUAUUCAGCUAUCUAAAGACUUACUUGCAUUAAAGAUCAACGAAGACUUGCAACCACUCUCUUGGCACUUGAUUUUUUGGGGGUUUUAAAAGUAUAACCAUGAGUAUCUGAAUGAUGUGAAUGGAUGUUGAUUUGGGCAUCUAUGAAGCGAGGCAGACUGUGGACUGUUAUGUAAAUGUGUACAACUUUCAUGAUGUUUUGAUUCAAACUUCAUCUUGGUCAACAUACUCGAGGAAGCAUUUGAUACUUGGGGAUGAUUUGUGGCAUUUGGUGUUUUGGACAUUACGAGAUAUAUUGUACUUUUGUGGCAUAUUAGGGAUUUAAAU